ACCAUUAUUUAUACGAAAAGUACAACAUAUCGAUUUUUCGGUAUCUUGGUCCACCCCGAACAAUAACAAUAAUCAAAUGACCAACGAUUUGAUAUACUGAACUAGGGCAUCCAAAUUAGUAUACGAUGAACCACCUUUACUACCAGACUUUUUCACAAGUUUAGCCAUAUGAUCUGCCCUUUUCAAAAACUCAUCCUUUCUCACUUCCAUCAAAUCUCUCACUGAUUUCUCAAUAAUCAAUCUAUCACAUGUAUCUUUUAUGUCCAAUCCAAUCUUCCAAACCUCACUCACAAACCUACUAUUAGUUGUUUGGUCACCGAAAUAAGGCCAACAUAUCAUCGGCACGCCAGCCACAAUGCUCUCGAGAGUCGAGUUCCAUCCACUGUGUGUCAAGAAUCCCCCCAGGGCCGUCUCUGAGGGCGGGCGAGCAUGGGCGACCGCCCAGGGCCCAUCAUUUUCGGGGGCCCCAAAAUUUUAUAUCCUCUUAUAUAUACUAUUAUUAUUAUGGGUCCAAUAUUUUGUUUUUUAUGUAUACUACUAACUUUAAAAAAAAUUGGGGCCCAAAAAAUUACAUCCCAAAAGAAUUUUGGAGCCCAAAUAAAUUACAUCACUAAAUAUUUUUGGAUAAUAGCGUGAUGCUGAAAUCUUUAAUUUUUUUCUGAUGUCUGUUGAAGUUGAGGAUAUUAGUGAGAAUAUAGAUAACUUGAGCGAGCAUUAUCGCCUUCUUAAUAUACCAAAUGACGAACAUAUAGCCAUGAUGAACAUUUUAUUCCUUCAUGUGAUAUAUACGAGAAAUUGGGAUAAUAUUGAUAAUAAUACACGUGAUAUUUUAGUUGAAAAAUGGCCUAUUAGAGAAAUGAAUCUUGUAUUUUCUUUAGACAAUAUCUCUAGGCAUUUUUCUUAUGCUCACUAUACUAUAAAAUUAAUCAAUGGUGAGGUGCAAGAUCGAAAGUGGUUCGUAUAUAGUAAAAAUAUUUGUCAAAUACAUGUUGUGAAAGUCGUAUUAAAAGUGCUCGAGCAAUUAGAUUUCAGUCUGUUGAAUUGAGAGAUGCUUUAUUAAAAUUAUGUGAUAUUUGUGAUGAUGCAAAGUCGAAAAGUGAAGCUGAAAGUUUAAGUGCAUCAAUUGAAAAUUGAAAAUUUUUAUUUGGUAUAGUUAUUUGGUAUGACAUUUAAUUUGCUGUAAACAUGAUGAAUAAAAAGUUACAAUCCAAAUAUCUUUGCAAGUAGUAUAGAUGACUUAUCGUGGACGGAGGGAGUAUUAUAAAUGAUUUUGCAAGUAAAAAGACGAGAAUAAAUCACUUUUUAUAUUAUUAAUACUUUAUUUUUAUCGAAAUAUUAUAAUGUGACUUAAGAAAAAGUAUUAUCUUGUGCUUUUAUGAUGGUGGAUAGGGGCCCAUUUCUAUCAUUUCGCCCUGGGCCCAUUUUUAAUCAGAAACGGCCCUGAAUCCCCCCACUGCGGGGUGGUUGAGCACCUUCUCCUGCGGCGCCCACUCCACCAACAGACCCUUUUCUUUACUACGUUCCAUUAAUUCCGCAAAAGCUUGUUCAUUUCCUUCAUUGCCAGUGAUGGAAUCCGGCCUCAUCACCCACAAGAAACUCUGCGAACUGUCGAGCAAGGCGUGCCAGAACUCUAACAGUUGCUCUCUCGUCACAAGUGUUAUGCUCCCGAAGCUCACAUAGAUGACAGAUUUAGGUGGUUGCGUGUCCAGCCAAUCGAUGCACCUCCGAUCCUCUGCCCAUAGACUCGCCUUGAUGACGGAGACCUCCGCCUUCGUCUCCAUUUGUCUGGAUUUCACUUGCAAGUGGAUUGGACCGACGGAGAAAAUUCUCGGUGCAUGCUUCUGUAUCUCUGCAACUACAGGUCCCUCGAGAUCUUCACAAGUGUUAAAUAUGACCCCUUCCUUCACAAUUUGAUGCCCUAUUAACUCUUGAAGAAUCGGGUCGUUUACAUCGUCGGCACGGUAAAAACUAGGCAGGUCACGCCGUCGGAGAAAACCUUCCAUUCCUGGUACACUUUUAACUAAUUCAUCCAUCGAUUUUCCUGCAAAAACCUCAUAGAGAUUAUAGAGUUACAUAUACAUAUCUCUCUUUGGUUGUAAAUUUUCACAUUUUAGUGGUCCCAUCUUUUUAUCCCAUAUCCUAUAGGGUAUGUAAAAAAAUAAAAAUGAUUGCCAAACUGACCUCGGAAAGGAAUAUCUUGAGCUUGAAGCAGCUGAGGAAAGCAAAGAAGAGCCCAGCAGUAGGAGGCGCUAGCAGUGUGAAAGAUGAUGAGCGGAAGCUGGUGCUCUCUUGCAAAGCCGGGAGCGAAGCUCAUAGCAUCUGCAACGAAGCAAGUCACCCGUCUACGGGCGGCGCCGCCCAAGAAAUUCUCCUGGACCAUCAUUUUCUUGAAGAGCGGCACCGUGACUUUUUCGAUGGAGAAGAUGAGGUCCAGGGCUCUCUCCCCGGUGCGGGGGUGGUCGUCGGGGAGGCCGUCGGGGAGAGUGCGGAACUGGAACCCCGGGUAGCGGGCGAAGGCGGCGAGGGCGGUGGUGUGCUCGAGGAGGCGGCGGUGGUUGAAGUCGGAGAUGAUGAAGGUGACGUGGAAGUCGGAUAGGCAGAAGAGAUGCGCGAGAUUGAGCAUGGAGUUGAGAUGCCCCUGAAUCGGAUAAGGGAAAAUCAGCACGUGCGGUGGCAGAUCUUUUCCUUCUUCACAGCUCAUCUUCUUCCAGUUCUGAACUUCCAAUUUAAUGGCUUUUGUUUUCGUUUCUGACUUCUGAGUAUUGCAAUUUAUAGAUGAAAUGAAUGACAAAUUUUGUUGUCCCACUUUUCAUGUCCACCGCUUAUUCCACUGUCAUGUUUUUAUAGUUUUUAAUUGGGUAAAUAAUGAAAAACCCGUGAACUAUAUUCACUUUAUCAAAAAUACUUUGAAACUUUUGAAAUGUUCUCUAAACACUCAAACUAUCAUGUUUUUAUCAAAUUUAUUUUGCAUCUAUUUUUUUCAAUUUUUCAACCUACAGUAUAUAUUAAUGCAGGAAAGUGACGUGAGUUGGCAUUUAUGGCAUAUUUCUGACAUUGUGUAAGAACUUUUACAAAAAACCAAACAUGCCUAUCACCAUCACUUUUGCUUUUGGGUAAUGUGGGUAGUUUUGUAAGAUAGAUUAUAAGAGUGGGUAGAUUAAAUUUCGACCCAAAAUAUAUAUUAGCCUAUUUUUUCAAAAUGCCCCAACAUAAAUAAUUUUAAACUCUUCAGAAUGAAUCUUAAUUUUCAUUCAAAAUGAGUCAUUUAUUUAUAUGGCAAAAAAAUUCUCGUUUAUUCAUCUUUUCACAUUUUCACCUACUACACUUAACACAUUAAAAAUUGUUUUCUUAAUUCUCGUGUCGAAAAGAAUUGAUUCAAGGUUCACGGGAACGGAGGGUGUAGAAUAUAUAUGGUGUAUCUGACCUUGGAAAGGAAUUUCUUGAGCUUCAAGCAGCUGAGGACAGCAAAACAUAGCCCAGUAGAAGGCGGCGCUAGCAGUUUGGAAGAGGAUGUACGGAAGCUGAUGCUCUCUCGCAAACUCGGGGGCGAACCUCAUAGCAUCGGCAACGAAGCAACUCACGCGUCUACGGGCGGCGCCGCCCAAGAAAUUCUCGUCGAGCAUCAUUUUCUUGAAGAGCGGCACCGUGACUUUUUCCAUGGAGAAGAUGAGGUCCAGGGCUCUCUCCCCGGCGCGGGGGUGGUCGUCGGGGAGGCCGUCGGGGAGAGUGCGGAACUGGAACCCCGGGUAGCGGGCGAAGACGGCGAGGGCGGUGGUGUGCUCGAGGAGGCGGCGGUGGUUGAAGUCGGAGAUGAUGAAGGUGACGUGGAAGUCGAAUAAGCAGAAGAGAUGCGCGAGAUUGAGCAUGGGGCUGAGAUGGCCCAGAAGUGGAAAAGGGAAAAUCAGCACGUGCGGCGGCAGAUCUUUACCUUGUUCAGAGCUCAUCUUCUUCCAAUCUGAUCUAGGAAUUUAAAAGCUUUUGUUUUCGUUUCUGAGUCUUGCAAUUAUCAGAUGAAAUGAAUUAUUGAAUUGAGGCACAAACUCAUUCUCCCACUUUUGAUGUCCCACCACUUAUUCCAUUAUCUAUCCUUGUGAUUUGAAUUAUUGGUUUAAUGAUUGGAGAAAAAAAGUCUUAUUAACUGAGUUGUGUUUCACUAUCUUAUUCUAACACUAUUUUAAGGCAAGACACUUUCACUUCUCACAAUACACUUUUUUUUUUUUUAAGGUAAAUAAGAUAAAUAAAAGGGGUACUUAACCCAAAAGGUACAUAAGAGCAUAUUACAUGACAAGUUAGAACUUGGAAGGAAAACAACGGAUCGGAUCAACAAACCAAUCGUGAACCGAACAACAAAAGUUACUAGACAACAUCGCCUUAAUCCUUCUCCAAGAGCAAAAGAUAAUGUUAUCCACAGCCGAAUCAACGCAUCUAUUUUUAAAGAUUCUCUCAUUUCGAGCUUUCCAACUCCAACAAGCACAUUGCCAGAUCAUGUUAAACAUCGAUUUUUCCAUCUUGUUCUUGCCAUUCACAAUACACUUACAUAUUUUUAUAAAACUUAUGUCACUCACGCAAAUCGAAGCGAGUAAUAAAACAACACAAAUUAAUUCUCCUAUGAGAUUGAGUGUAUGGGUGAGACGGGUCGGGUCGAGGUUGGUUAAUAAUUUAAAAUAAUUAUUGUUGUGAUGAAAAGUAAUAUAUAUCUUGAAAAAUACAUGUCAUCAACUUUUUUGAUAUAAGGUAUCAUUAUAUUAUUUAUGAAUAAUGUUGUUUUUGUUGAAUUUUGGAGACGGCUGAAAUCAUUAUUUUUUAUAUUAAAAAAACAAGCAACAGAAACAUUUAUAUAGGCUUAAAUAGAAAUAAAAAAACAAUUAUGUACUGAGUUGGGUUCUCUAUUUGAAUGGGCCCAUUGAGGAAAUUUUCAGACAACACUACGACAGGCUUGACAAAAUAAAUUGCCAUUGUAAAAGACUAUCACCACAAAAAUGCCGAUUUAAUCUAGUUCCACCAUUUUUUUUUUUGAAGCAGUUCUAUUUUAUUCAACAAAAAACAUUUUAAAGUUGUCAUCAAUUGAAAUCUCACAAACACAAAAAGUGAGAGGGAGCAUUCUUGCUCUGGUUCAAGGACAAGACAAACUUGUUAAAUUGCACACUCGUUUUAAUUCUGUUUGCAAUUUUUGAGGAUAUACCAACAAAAACAUCUUUAAAAAUAACAAUAACAAUAAUCACAAUACCAAUGACUCGAUAUACUGAACUAGAGCAUCCAUAUUAGUAUACGACGAACCACCUUUACUUGCAGACAUUUUCACAAGUUUAGCCAUAUUUUCUGCCCUUUUCAAAAACUCAUCUUUUCUCACUUCCAUCAAAUCCCUCACUGCCUUCUCAAUAAUCAAUCUAUCACAAGUGUCUUUUAUGUCCAACCCAAUCUUCCAAACCUCACCCACAAACCUACUAUUAGUGGUUUGGUCACCGAGAUAAGGCCAACAUAUCAUCGGCACGCCGGCCACAAUGCUCUCGAGAGUCGAGUUCCAUCCACUGUGCGUCAAGAAUCCCCCCACUGCGGGGUGGUUGAGCACCUUCUCCUGCGGCGCCCACUCCACCAACAGACCCUUUUCUUUACUACGUUC
rnacentral:lncRNA from 1 species